GGAGACUGCGGCCCAAGUUAGGAUUAGGACAGCGGUUUUUCAGUCCGGAGAUUCCGGCCACAACUAUUUUUGUCUGUUUUUAUCGUAAGCCAGAGUCUUUGGGUGCAGCUCUGGGACACCUAAAGGGCCUGGAGAAAUUCAGGCGGGGCCAGUGCUGUGGGGGUAGAUGUUAGACGUGGAAGGGACCCUAGAGAGCCUUGACUGUGAGGACUGAGGGCCUCCUUUGUUGCCCAGGCCGGAGUGCAGUGGCUAUUCACAGGUCGAUAAUGCAAUCAUGGUGCACACUACAGCCUUGAACUUCUGGGCUCAUGUGAUCCUUCUGCCUCAGCCUCCCAGCGCUAUCCUCAUCAUACAUAUACUGUGAAGAUAAAAUAUCUGUUGAAGAUUCUUUGAGCACCUUGGGCCAGAAGAGCUACAGAAAGCCAAGGUGUGGCUGUGAUGACACUGAAUUCAGCUCAAGACCCAGGAGAACCUUACAUCUAUUCUUAUUUCCACAAGGAAGUGCACACAUGGCUAAUGCAAAUUCUUCCAUAAUAAUGAUAUAAACUUGAGUUGUCCAGGUUUGAUGAGACCCACAUCUUGUAUAUACAGUGUCAUCUACUGCCUCUGUUAGGGGCUCUAGGGGAUAAAGGAAACUAUAUUAAGAAAUGCAGCAUCUGUUUCUCCCUGUGUGACCACCCUACUUCCAAGAAGUUUCUGUAUCCUUGGCUGAAGUGCACUGUGUGUAUGUGUAUGUGUGUACACUCUUCUACAUCAAUCUGUAAGUCACUGAAAUGCUGCAGAUGUUUUAAAAAAAUUCCACCAUACUUGCUUACUUUAAACUUUGAAACAGGCAAAUAGCUAAGGCCAAUAACACUAGAUAGAAUUAAGUAAUUAAUAAUUUAACAGCACAAUUUAACAUUGUGCUUCUUAGGAUGGGCAGGGAUUGGUUAAUGGAUACAAAAUUAUAGCUAGAUAGGAGGAAUGAGUUCUGGUGUUCUGGAGCACUGUAGGAUGAAUAUGGCUAACUAUAAUUUAUUGUAUACUGUCAAAAGUCUAGAAGAAAGGAUUUUAAAUGUUCACAACACAAAUAAUAAAUUUUUGAGAUAAUGCAUAUCUGGUUUGAUUGUUAUACAUUGUAUACAGUAUUAAAAUAUCACUAUGUAUCCCAUGAAUAUGUAAAAUUAUUAUUUAUUAUUUUAAAAAUAAAAGGGGAGGAAAGAGAUUGUGCUUUUUGUCCCUUCGGGUUCAUUUGUCUAUUACUAUUCUUUCUCACUCUCUUUUUUUUUUUUUUUUUGAGACAGGGUCUCACUCUGUUGCCCAGGCUGGAGUGCAGUGGCACCAUCUCGGCUCACUGCAGCCUCGACCUCCUGGCCUCAAGUAAUCUUCCAGCCUCAGCCUCCUAAGUAGCUAGGACCAUAGGCACAGGUCACCGUACCCAGCUACUUUUGUUUAUUUUUUGUAGAGAAGAGGUCUUACUAUGUUGCCCAGGCUGGCUUCUAACUCCUGGGUUCAAGUAAUCCACUUGCCUUGGCCUCCCAACGUGUUGGGAUUACAGGUGUGAGCACCAUGCUUGGCCUCUCACUCUUAAAAA
rnacentral:lncRNA from 1 species